rnacentral:rRNA from 1 species
GUGCCAGCAGCCGCGGUAAUACAGAGGGUGCGAGCGUUGUCCGGAAUCACUGGGCGUAAAGGGCGCGUAGGUGGCUAGGUAAGCGUGUGGUGAAAGUCCGGGGCUCAACCCCGGAUCUGCCGUGCGAACUGCUUAGCUCGAGCAAUGUAGAGGCAGGUGGAAUUUCGGGUGUAGCGGUGGAAUGCGUAGAUAUCCGAAAGAACACCAGUGGCGAAGGCGGCCUGCUGGGCAUUUGCUGACACUGAGGCGCGACAGCGUGGGGAGCAAACAGGAUUAGAUACCCCGGUAGUCC